GUGGAAUACUGCAUUUGUGAUCACUUGAUAGGUUCCACACUACAGGCUGAGAAGUAUAUGCGGCUUUGAGACUAAGAUGCUUUCAAGGAGGUAGACAUGGCAGCCGGUUCGGUCUGGGUAGGUUCUGGGUCAGAAUUAACAAUUUUGAUUCAAUGGCUUAAGAGACUACGAUCAAAUCGCAAUGUUUUUUUGUGUUUUGAUUUUAA
rnacentral:misc_RNA from 1 species